UAUUUUCUGGUACCCACAAUAGAGCAGCGGCUGAUGGGAUAACCGAGGCAGUAUAGACCGUAUAGAUCGGGGGAUCGCCCUGAUGCUGCCUAAGCAAGGCUCACUUAUGCAACACCCUAACACAAUGCAGGGCCAAUCUUUUGGGCAGAUGUGACACAAAUUAGCCCUGCCUCCCUCCCAGAGUAUCACUCCCAUCUCUUUCCCCUGGCUGAUCUGCUGCUCUGCUUUCCGCUCCCUGUCCUAUCUGUUGCUGUGCUGCCUGUCGCCUCCCUGAGCUGGCACGCGCCAUGCAGAGGGGCUGCCAAAUCCCAAAUGCUACAAACUGCACUCCAGCUCAUGCAUCUUAUAUGUAACGUAUUCCCAGGGAGGUAAAGCUUCCCACCUUGUGAUCACGUGCUGUGGAUAUGCUGCUCUGGUGCUCACAUGGUCUGGUAGCCGUGGUCGUGCUAAGACUGGGGCAGAGCUGGACUAGAUGCCUCGCACACCCAGAACGCUGUCUCACGGUCAGCGAGACGGAGGACAGCAUGCAUCCUAACCUAAUUUUCUUGUUCAACCUGUUGGUAGGUUUUAAAAGGCUAGAAUCUCAUAUUUAUCUCCCCAGCUGCCGACCAUCCUUCCCAAAGUUAUUCCAGAUUCACUGGGGGUCACGACAGCCAUGUGCCACUGGCAAAACACUUCAUGCUGUUGGGUUGGGACAGCGUCUGUCCUCGGUGAGCCCCACAUCUGAGCGUAAAAGGGACGGUGACAAAGUGAGACCAUGCUUGCAACUCCCAGAGGUGGGCUGAAAAUAAAGGGUGAGCAGGUGAAGAAACCGCCCUCGCAUGGGGACUUCUGAUGUCCUUUGCCCGACACAAAUCCUACCUGUACAUUGGGUAUCCACAUCACUCGCUGAUGAAUGGAUGCCAUAUACAUAUCCAUGGAAGGUGCAUUCAUGUUUUGCAGUCUCUUACACCGAGUAGUUUACGGGGAAAUAGGUCUGUAUUGUGGAGCAUUAGCACGGAUCAGCGGCUCUAGUUUGGGAUAGCCUUCUCUGUCUGCUGCAAUGCUCAAAGCAAGUCCGAGCACAUCUGCCUUUAAGACCCCCUCCUUACUGCAAGUGCAUGAUGUGCCAGACCGUUUCCCCAGGAGCAGAAUGGUCAUGCUGAACGCGAUUAAGUAUUUUAGGGCGUGCUUUCCUUCCAAGUCACUUUAAAAAAGGCCAAAAGGCUUGAUAGUGCACCAUAAUUAGAGUCUGUAGCAGAAAGGCAUGGGCCUGAGAGCAUCUUGCUACAGCUCUAGUGGUGGGAGUUUGAGUCCUGCUCUGGGCUCGUGCCAAAGGCUCUCAGCUAUGCAUAGUUAUUCAGGCUGGGGUGGGGAAGGCAGAUGGAUGUGACACGAGCCCCUCCUCUCCCUUGGCUACAGAAACUGGUGUGCCUGAACCACGGCAGCUGUGUGAGCCACUGGCUUUUGGGUAGUAGAAAGGCAGCACGGACACAUUGGCGACGCUCAAGGCUUCUCCGCAGGUUUUUCCUUUUCGGUGGACGCGGAGGAAGAGCCGAAGCAUGGAGGCCAAUGUAACUACGGGGCAGCUAGCUAAUAGAGGGGACCCUGGCUGGAAGAGGCACCGUCCAGAGUCUCAAGCAAGAGCUUUGAGGCUCCGUCUCGUGUUCACCUAAUGAAUGCUUAAUUGUUUACCUCUGGCUAUCGAGCCUCUGUUCUCUAUCUUAAUACCUUUGUGAUAAGCGGAAGUUGCAUGAGUCAGUGAUGGGAUGAAUGUGGCCGCACGAUUAGCACGGCGCUUGGAGCCCGGGCCCCAUUCAUCGUGCGGCCUGUUUACUGGCUUCUCAGGCCGGAUAUUGUUACUCGCCCGAUUCGCGGUGCCGCGGCGAGGAUCGAGUGCUUGUGCAAGACCUCAGAUGGACGUGCGAGAGAAGUGUUUACAAAUUUUCCACGUGCAAUAAGGCACAGUCGGUUCUCUCCUGAUUCACUCUGCACCACGACUGGAAGGUUACUCCGAAUAUUCAUAAAAGUUAGGAAGAAGGGGCCCAAGAAUAAUGUGGCGCCAAGCCCGUCACGCUGCUCCCGGAGGGGGCGAAUUCUUUAAAAACUGCCUGGUGCCUUCAUUGGUUAGCUCUUGCUGCUCUUCCCUUUCCGAUGUGUGUACGUGUGUAAACAGGAGCGUUCACCCUCGUGGCCAAGUAGUUUAGCAGCAGUCAUUGAGGGAGAUUUAAGCCUGUCAUUUCUCAUUUCUUGAUGGACACCAGUAGCUGGAGAGUGGAUGGGGAAUAGCAUGGAAACUCUGCUCAGUGGUGAGGGCUUAGACAUCUUUUCCUUUUAAACUGGCUGGAUUGCGGGAGUGGAUCUCCAAGUGCUGACAACAUGAUUUGCAGGGCAAGAGCCAGAAGACAAUGCUGAGGCUGAUGAGUGCGUGCAAUGCAAGCGGGGAAAUGCCUUUUCCCCUGGAAUAAGUCUAAAGGAAACUUGUGGCUUUAAAACACCAGGUUUUUUGCAGUACCUGGCAGGAAGCCUGCUCUGGCGUGAAGGUGACGGAGUGAAGGUUGCAUUAACUGGGGCUUUUUUAGUGGUUGAACUUGCAUUGAACUGCCACUAAAGUAAGACAGGUUGCUGGUUCGGGGUGCAGGACAGAAAUCCAGAUCAGUUUACAGCAGAAUUUCUCCAGGGCUACCGGACCCGAUGGGUGCAGAGGUAGCAAUGAUGCACGUAGCAGAACAACCUCCGUGGUUAUCCUUGUUAUUUUUACUAGAAGCAGGUGCAGAAGCAGCUCGGAUGUUGCAGCUUCGCCUUGUCCCCGACAUAAGAAAUCCAGACACUUCCCUGGACUUCAUCUCUGCCGGGUGCUCAAGAAGCCACACCUUUUGGAGCUGUCGGCCAAAAAACGACCGGCUCAUUUAGACAGCGCGGGGAUGCUGACACUGUUCUUCUCAACAGAUCCCUCUAGCUGGAGUCUAGCUUGUGGCUUGCUAGUGACAGCUGCUGUCAUCCUUCUCCUCCAGAAGUUACGUCUUCCAACUAACUAGGAGUGGGGGGAUGAAAACCUGUCUUUGAUUAGAAGACUGACUCAUAUUUUUCAGUUCCACACAUGGACCCCAGGCUUAAUUGCAAGUCAAUCAAGCUCGACAAAGAGCAGAAGUCCAGCCGCAGAGGCCUGUGAUCAAAAAACAUAAGCGGGCACGAUGCGGCGACCAGCGGUACAGGGUGGCACUUACUGGGAAUGGUUUCAGUAGGUCAGGAAUCAGCGAGCCUGACUUGCCUUUGCUGCAAUUGUCUGUCCCUGCUCCUGCCAUCGACUGCCUGGGUCGGUAGGAAUUUGGCUGAACUUGUCUUUAAAAGGCAUAGGGUUGAUGGAGAUCUCUCUGCCAGCCUGUCUGCUCCAGCUGAGGUUUCUGUAGACCCCCACCUGUGAAAGGAUCUCUUACUGGCCUGAUGAACAUCUGUAGUCACAUGCUAAAUACCUGAUUUGACUUUGAAUCCUUAACUAACGGGCAGGAUAAAAAUAAAAUCUCUUCCUAAUGGUCUCUUGGAGGCCCUACUCUAGUUCAGACAUCUUAAACCCGUUCGAAAAUGCAUUUAAACCCCGCUUGAAGGUACAAAACUACCACGCGUGUUAAAGCAAGUGGCUGCAGGUAGCAUUUCAUCCAAUCAUUGCCCCUUUUUCUCAAAGCCACAAGGCUGGAUAAUCUUCUGUGUUUGUGGCGCUUCGCUUAUUUUGUCUGGACGAGGUUUGUAGCUGCAGGUCUUCUCGUUACAAAGCUCUGGCAAAUGGAAUUAUUCUGCUCAAUUUGCAUAAGUGUAUUAAAAGCCAAAAAACCCCCUUGUUCAUGCAGCAUCAUCUGCUUGGAUUUCAACACAAGGACAUGGGGGAGUCGGGAAUUAAGGUUUUGGCAGACGCAGCAACAGGAAACCGAUACAAGUCAUAGAAGUGGCGAAACCUUCCUUUAAACUAUACGUGAAUUCAAUUUGAAGCGGUAAAAAUCGAACUGCCCCCUCUCUGCUUGUUCCUUAGCCUGAAUCUGAAGCAUAUGUUCCCCUUUUGCUUCCAGUGUCUUUUGUAGCGGACAAUGUCAGGGGAUGUUUGUUUGUCUGGGCUCCAAAUUGCAAUGGGCCGGUAAACUGUUAUUCCUUUGUGAUGUAACUCAAGAGGAAAACUUCCUGUUUUUCA